rnacentral:rRNA from 1 species
UACGAAGGGGGCUAGCGUUGCUCGGAAUGACUGGGCGUAAAGGGCGCGUAGGCGGAUUGUACAGUCAGGCGUGAAAUUCCCGGGCUCAACCUGGGGGCUGCGCUUGAGACGUGCGAUCUUGAGUGGGGAAGAGGGUCGUGGAAUUCCCAGUGUAGAGGUGAAAUUCGUAGAUAUUGGGAAGAACACCGAUGGCGAAGGCGGCGACCUGGUCCUUGACUGACGCUGAGGCGCGAAAGCGUGGGGAGCAAACAGG